UACAGAGGUCCCAAGCGUUGUUCGGAUUCACUGGGCGUAAAGGGUGCGUAGGUGGUGGGGUAAGUCGGAUGUGAAAUCUCCGAGCUCAACUCGGAAAUGGCAUUGGAAACUACCUUGCUCGAGGGUUGGAGGGGGGACUGGAAUACUUGGUGUAGCAGUGAAAUGCGUAGAUAUCAAGUGGAACACCAGUGGCGAAGGCGAGUCCCUGGACAACUCCUGACACUGAGGCACGAAAGCUAGGGGAGCAAACAGG
rnacentral:rRNA from 1 species